rnacentral:rRNA from 1 species
AGAGUUUGAUCCUGGCUCAGGAUGAACGCUAGCUACAGGCUUAACACAUGCAAGUCGAGGGGAAACGACAUCGAAAGCUUGCUUUUGAUGGGCGUCGACCGGCACACGGGUGAGUAACGCGUAUCCAACCUGCCCACCACGUUGGGGAUAACCUUGCGAAAGUAAGACUAAUACCCAAUGAUAUCUCUAGAAGACAUCUGAAAGAGAUUAAAGAUUUAUCGGUGAUGGAGUGGGGAUGCGUCUGAUUAGCUUGUUGGGCGGGGUAACGGCCCACCAAGGCAACGAUCAGUAGGGGUUCUGAGAGGAAGGUCCCCCACAUUGGAACUGAGACACGGUCCAAACUCCUACGGGAGGCAGCA